UAGUGUAUAGUUUGCCAGAGAAUGAUUAAGGUGACUCUAACUCUGUUAAUUGAUUUUUAUGCGUUUGAAGCAAUUAUCCUUUUCGGUAAAUUCUACCCGAUAGUAAUUUAUUAUACAUGUAUGUUGCACUUUAAAAAAAUAUAGGAAUGCUUUUUUUAUCUAUAUAUUUAGGAUGAAAACAACAUUUUCUAGUAUUUUUCUGAAAACAAAAUCAUUCCGAAUUUUGAUAAGCUUGUUAGUAUAAAGUAAUACGAACAGCUAUGUGAUAUCUACUUACUUUAAUGAAUUUUAGUAUUUAUUUUUAGUUCUUUUAUGAUUAUUUAGAUGUUUUUAGUUCAUAUGUGUUUCUUCCUCGUUCUCAUCCUUCUAAUCCCAGUCAUCUCUUUAAUCUCUGUUAUGGGUUGAACUAAAUAACAGAGUCCGAUUCAUGAUUGAAGAUUUCAGCUCUCUCUCUAAGGUCUUCAUUUCAUUCCAUCCAACAUCACUCAAACCGGAUCCUCUGUAUUCGAUUGGGUAACAUCGCGUACGCAGUGCUCAGUGGGCGCUUAAGAUCUUCAGGCUGAGCUUGCUUUGAAGAUGUGGAAGCGUUCCCCUCAAGUGGUCGUUGAAGGUUGAGAACUUGAGAGUGAAGGAGGAAGGCGAAUGAAGAGAAGAAGCGCUUCAAUGGAGCUUCUGGUGAUGUUGAUUAUACGUCGGUGGAGGUAGACGUGCAGGAGAUAGCCUCCGGCACUGUAGAGCUUCGGAGUCGAUGAUUCCCGCACCGUUUGCGUUCUACCCAGAAAAGCAACACGUAUUCGUUCAUGAAACAUGCGUCUUCAUUUACUUUCAUCUUAUCUCAAUUGAGUUGACCGUGUUGGGCUAUAUCAUUUACUGUAAUGUUCGUCCUUGUAGAUUAGGUUCAAUUGGGCUGGUCUGUAAACGAUAUGGGCUGUAAACAUCAUUAUGUCGACAAAAAAAAAGGUUCAUAUGUGUUUAUGCAUAUAAACGGUUGGAGUUUUCCUUUGGUUAGGUGAAACUGAAUUCAAAAAGAAACAAAAGAGAAAGGACCAAACUGCAAAUAGAUGUAACUUAAGUUGUUUAUCAGAUCGAGGGUCUUCCACACCUAGAUCGGCCGAUUUCAAGCUCUGGGAUUAGGCUCGUCGCCUGAUGGUGGGCAAAUCGCGGUUUUGAGAUCAUCUGCAAUUGUAUGUGACAUCGAUGACUGUGGGAGCUGAGAUGGCUGUUGGAUGUGAGCUUAGAAGGUCGCGGCGGUGAAAAGAUGAACGCGACUCACGCCGUGGAGAAGCUUUGACACGAACACGGGGGCGGCAAUCGCGGUUGCACCAUCGGAGAUCAAUCUGAUCUGCGAUAGAGAUACAUGAGAAGUUGUGGAAUGGCAUGGCAAGGAGUCGAGGUCGCUGAGACAAAUAAGUUGCAGGUACACUGUCUCACAUAAGAGAAGCUCACAUUUAAUAAUAGAUCGUAGUGGUUCGAUUAAAAAGGGUUUUAAGGCGAUGCGUCUGUUACGUUGAACGUUUCGAUCAGUGAGGAAGAAGACCGAAGGACGUGAGAUUACCGCCAACAGAUUCAUCACGUCAGCGUCGGCGACUCAAUCUCUCGAGGAAGUGGUGAACCCUAGAAUCAAAAUCGACGCUUAGGGAUUCUCACUAUUGAGAUGGGUCAGUAAACGUAAAGCCCACAUAAACUGUAACCCAUAUUUUCUAAAUGAAACGCAACGUUUAUAUAUAGGACACGUGUCGUGCUCCUGUAAACUGAGUUUAUGACCUGUCUGCUGAGGUGUCUUCACCAGGAGAGAGUAAACCCAAUUUUAUAUAAAUAGAUUGCGGGAUCAUUGUCAACCAACUAAAAAUCAAAUAUUUUAUUCAUGUAUAUGAACAAAUCUCGUGUUGGAGUUAAUAUUUUGUAUUA